rnacentral:lncRNA from 1 species
CAUGUAAGCUUAGAUGAACUGGAAGAGAGGUACUUUGAGAGAAAAAAGACGAGGAAGGAAAGAAGGAAGGAGUACUUGGAGAUGAAAAAACUGAAGAGUGAAGUCAAAACUAACGGGGAAGAAAAAAUCCAGAACGAUACACCUGAAACCCUAGCUCAGAGACCUUCUGACCCGAUUACAGAACCCUCAACAGACCCGACUGUUGUAAUGGACACUCACCCUGCAACCCCAAUAGUCGCAGAACUGGAAGAGAGGCACUCUGAGAGAAAAAAGACGAGGAAGGAAAAAAAGAAGGAGUACAUGGAGAGGAAAAAACUGCAGGGUGAAGUCAAAACUAAACGGGGAAGAAAAAACCAAAGAACGAUACACUUGAAACCCUAGCUCAGAGACCUUUUGACCCGAUUACAGAACCCUCAGCAGACCCGGCUGUUGUAAUGGACACCCACCCUGCAACCCCAAUAGUCGCAGAACAGAAGAUUGCAAAGAAGAGACACAAGAAGAAGAAAAGGAAGCGUGAAGCGGUACAAUAUUCAAUUGCUGAAACCUCAGUUCAGGGAACUAAAGGAGUCACUGUCACUAAUGCUCCCAAUGGUCAACAUGGGCAAAGUUCU